rnacentral:misc_RNA from 1 species
GUGGUGGUACUCGCCGUCGAAGGCCGGCUCGUUGCGGCGGUCGGAGGGGGAGGACCAGAUGGAGUCGCCGAGGGAGAGGCCGGAGAAGCUCGCCGUCUGCAGCCGCAGCUGGUCGCUGAACUGGUAGAACUCGCGGUCGUAUCCCUCCAUGGCCGCUGCUGCUUUUUUUCUCUUGUUUUCUCGUGUGCUCGUGCUGCUUGGCUA